UACCAGCACCCCGAGUGGUCGGGACGAUUAUUGGGCCUAAAGUAUCCGUAGCCGGUUCUACAAGUCUUCCGUUAAAUCCACCUGCUUAACAGAUGGGCUGCGGAGGAUACUAUGGAGCUAGGAGGCGGGAGAGGCAAGCGGUACUUAGUGGGUAGGGGUAAAAUCCGUUGAUCCAUUGAAGACCACCAGUGGCGAAGGCGGCUUGCCAGAACGCACUCGACGGUGAGGGAUGAAAGCUGGGGGAGCAAACCGG
rnacentral:rRNA from 1 species